rnacentral:rRNA from 1 species
AAACCUGAGAAACCCGAAAGUUCGAAAGGAGAGAUUCACCGCGAUUCGUGUCGUCGACGCGUACGCGUACGGACUUCGUCCGGACUUCGGUCUCGGACGGGCCGAACGCGUGCCGUUCGGACGUGCGAUCGCGUGCACUUCUCUCCCUGUAGGACGUCGCGACCCGUUUGGUGUCGGCCUACGGUCGACGGUGGAGCUCGUGAGUGAAGGGGGUGAUCGCCUUAAAAACGAUCUCUCUCUAUCUCUCUCGCUAACCCGUCGUAACCCGGUCGACUCGCUAGACGGUAGUUAAGAAGGGCGCGGGGCCGCGACUAGUUCGCGUCCGGCCCGUCGCAAGCAAGUUCGGUAAUUCGGUGUUCUCGGAGUCCUCGCGUCUCCGGUCCCGGAUCCGAACUACUGUUGGCGACGGUCAGUCUCGGACAGACUCCGUAUACACGCCCGUCGGCGACGCUAUCGCUUUGGGUACUUUCAGGACCCGUCUUGAAACACGGACCAAGGAGUCUAGCAUGAGCGCGAGUCUUAGGGACUCUUUUACGAAACCUAAAGGCAAAAUGAAAGUGAAGGUCCGCCUCGGUGCGAGACCUAGGGAAGAUGGGUAGCUCUCUCCUUAACAGGGGGGCGGCCCCGCAUUCCCGGGGCGUCUCGAUCUCAUCGCGAGAUGAGGCGCACCCAGAGCGUACACGCA